rnacentral:rRNA from 2 species
CAAAGGGCUCACGGAGGAUACCUAGGCACACAGAGGCGAUGAAGGACGUGGUUACCUGCGAUAAGUCUCGGGGAGUUGGAAGCACACUUUGAUCCGGGAAUUUCCGAAUGGGGCAACCCCUUGAACGACCAACUGAAUAUAUAGGUUGGUGCGAGCUAACCCAGCGAACUGAAACAUCUUAGUAGCUGGAGGAAGAGAAAGUAAAUAACGACUCCCUCAGUAGCGGCGAGCGAACGGGGAAUAGCCCAAACCGAUAGUCUUGACUAUCGGGGUUGUGGGACAGCAAUAUGGAUCAACAAUUCUAGAAGAAACGUUUGAAUGGCGUGCCAUAGAGGGUGAAAGCCCCGUAAUUGAAAGAUGAGUUGACCUAGCUGUAUCCCGAGUAGCACGGAGCACGUGGAAUUCCGUGUGAAUCUGCGAGGACCACCUCGUAAGGCUAAGUACUACUGUGUGACCGAUAGUGAAACAGUACCGCGAGGGAAAGGUGAAAAGAACCCCGGGAGGGGAGUGAAAUAGAACAUGAAACCGUGAGCUUACAAGCAAUGGGAGCCCGACUAAUCGGGUGACCGUGUGCCUGUUGAAGAAUGAGCCGGCGACUUAUAGGCACUGGCGGGUUAAACCGGAAAUGGUGGAGCCACAGCGAAAGCGAGUCUUAAUAGGGCGUUUGUCAGUGUUUAUAGACCCGAACCCUGGUGAUCUAACCAUGGCCAGGAUGAAGCUUGGGUGAUACCAAGUGGAGGUCCGAACCGACUGAAGUUGAAAAUUCAGCGGAUGAGCUGUGGUUAGGGGUGAAAUGCCAAUCGAACCAGGAGCUAGCUGGUUCUCCCCGAAAUACGUUGAGGCGUAGCGUCUAGUGCUCCAGCAGGGGGGUAAAGCAACCAUUUCGGUGCGGGCUGCGAAAGCGGUACCAAAUCGAUAUGAACUCUGAAUACCCUGUGUGUAACUAGGCAGUCAGACUGUGGGGGAUAAGCUCCAUAGUCAAGAGGGAAACAGCCCAGACCGCCAGCUAAGGUCCCAAAAUUAACGCUAAGUGAUAAAGGAGGUGGGAUUGCCCAGACAACCAGGAGGUUUGCCUAGAAGCAGCCAUCCUCAAAGGAGUGCGUAAUAGCUCACUGGUCGAGCGAUCCUGCGCCGAAAAUGAAUGGGGCUAAGCGUUAUACCGAAGCUGCGGAUAAAUUUAUUUAUGGUAGGGGAGCGUUCUAUGUUGGGUGAAGCGUUAGCGUAAGCGGACGUGGACGGCAUAGAAGUGAGAAUGUCGGCUUGAGUAGCGAAAACAUGGGUGAGAAUCCCAUGCCCCGAAACCCUAAGGGUUCCUCCGGCAGGCUCGUCCGCGGAGGGUUAGUCUGGACCUAAGGCGAGGCCGAAAGGCGUAGUCGAUGGAUAACAGGUCAAUAUUCCUGUACCAGUUAUGUUUUGGGAAGGGGGACGGAGAAGGCUAGCCAGGCCAGAUGUUGGUUACUGGUUCAAGCGUUCAAGGCUUUGAGAGAUGGAGAAAACAUCUUGAGCUAAGGCGUGAGUACGAGCUGCUACGGCAGCGAAGUUGGUGAUGUCAUGCUUCCAAGAAAAGCCCUAUACCCGUUAAGACAUAAAUGCCAGUACCCGAAACCGACACAGGUGGGGUGGUAGAGAAUACCGAGGGGCGCGAGAUAACUCUCUCUAAGGAACUCGGCAAAAUGGCCCCGUAACUUCGGGAGAAGGGGUGCCAGCGAGAGCUGGUCGCAGUGAAGAGGCGCAAGCGACUGUUUACCAAAAACACAGGUCUCCGCUAAGUCGCAAGACGAUGUAUGGGGGCUGACACCUGCCCAGUGCCGGAAGGUUAAGGAAGCUGGUUAGCUUUUAGCAAAGCUAGCGACUGAAGCCCCGGUGAACGGCGGCCGUAACUAUAACGGUCCUAAGGUAGCGAAAUUCCUUGUCGGGUAAGUUCCGACCCGCACGAAAGGUGUAACGAUUUGCGCGCUGUCUCGGAGAGAGGCUCGGCGAAAUAGAAUUGUCUGUGAAGAUGCGGACUACAUACACCCGGACAGAAAGACCCUAUGAAGCUUUACUGUAGUUUGAUAUUGUGCUCGGGCUCUAAUUGCGCAGAAUAGGUGGGAGACGUUGAAAUAGUACUUGUGGGUAUUAUUGAGUCAUCGGUGAGAUACCACUCUAUUAGAGCUAGGGUUCUAACGCUUACCCGUUAUCCGGGAAGCGGACAGUAUCUGAUGGGCAGUUUGACUGGGGCGGUCGCCUCCUAAAAGGUAACGGAGGCGCACAAAGGUUCCCUCAGGCUGGUUGGAAAUCAGUCGUUGAGUGCAAAAGCAGAAGGGAGCUUGACUGUGAGACCUACAAGUCGAACAGGGACGAAAGUCGGUUUUAGUGAUCCGACGGUUCUGCGUGGAAGGGCCGUCGCUCAACGGAUAAAAGUUACUCUAGGGAUAACAGGCUGAUCUCCCCCAAGAGUUCACAUCGACGGGGAGGUUUGGCACCUCGAUGUCGGCUCAUCGCAACCUGGGGCUGAAGUCGGUCCCAAGGGUUGGGCUGUUCGCCCAUUAAAGCGGUACGCGAGCUGGGUUCAGAACGUCGUGAGACAGUUCGGUCCAUAUCCGGUGUAUGCGCAGGAAUAUUGAGAGGAUUUCUCCCUAGUACGAGAGGACCGGGAGGAACGCACCUCUGGUGUGCCAGUUAUCGUGCCAACGGUAAACGCUGGGUAGCCAUGUGCGGAGUGGAUAACCGCUGAAAGCAUCUAAGUGGGAAGCCCACCUCAAGAUGAGUAUUGCCAUGGCUUAAGCCAGUAAGGUCACGGGAAGAACACCCGUUGAUAGGCUCUACGUGGAAGCUUGGUAACAAGUGCAGCGGAGGAGUACUAAUAGACCGAGGGCUUGACCA